UUAUAAUCCUUCUGUUUUAGAAGCAUUUAAUUCUGUAGAGCAUAUGUCAUAAUGUGUUCUUUAAAUCGGGCUAAUUGCUGGAAAAUCUUUAUUAAGAAAAUCAGCAGGAAACCAACGGAUAUAUUUUAUUCCUAGUAGGAUCUUCAGAGACUACACGCCUGACAUCUAAUUAAUGCAAAAGUUACUAGAUGAUGAUAUAGUCCAAUCUCUACUGCAAAGUAGAG
rnacentral:ncRNA from 1 species